CAAUAGCGUAUAUUAAAGUUGUUGCGGUUAAAAAGCUCGUAGUUGGAUCUCGGCAGGCAGGGGGUGGUUCGCUCUUAGCGCUACUGCCCCAUUUGCCUGUGUGAUUGGCGGAGGUUUCGGGGUGCUCUUCGUUGAGUGACCCGGGGCGCCGUCAGGUUUACUUUGAAAAAAUUAGAGUGCUCAAAGCAGGCUUUUCACGCUUGAAUAUUCGUGCAUGGAAUAAUGGAACAGGAACUCGUUUCUAUUUUGUUGGUUUUCGGAAAUCGAGUUAAUGAUUAAUAGGGACAAUUGGGGGCAUUAGUAUUCAGACGACAGAGGUGAAAUUCUUGGACCGUCUGAAGACUAACUACUGCGAAAGCAUUUGCCAAGAGUGUUUUCAUUAA
rnacentral:rRNA from 1 species